rnacentral:tRNA from 1 species
GGAGAGUUGUCCGAGUGGUUUAAGGUGCGGCUCUCGAAAAGCCGUGUGCUUCACAGCACCGUGGGUUCGAAUCCCAUGCUCUCCG